rnacentral:tRNA from 2 species
CGGGGCGUAGCGCAGUUUGGUAGCGCAUCUGGUUUGGGACCAGAGGGCCGCGGGUUCAAAUCCUGCCGCCCCGACCA